UUAAUUUUAUUAAAUGGGGACCUGCAAGCAUUCAGGUUGCUCUAUCUAGGAAGUCUCCCUAUGUUCAAACUGCCCAUAGGGUCAGUGGUCUUAUGCUCACUAGCCAUACAAGUAUCCGACACCUAUUCAGCAAAUGCCUAAGCCAAU